GACGAACGCGGCGGCGUGCCUAAUACAUGCAAGUCGAGCGGACAGAUGGGAGCUUGCUCCCUGAUGUCAGCGGCGGACGGGUGAGUAACACGUGGGUAACCUACCUGUAAGCCUGGGAUAACUCCGGGAAACCGGGGCUAAUACCGGAUGGUUGUUUGAACCGCAUGGUUCAAACAUAAAAGGUGGCUUCGGCUACCACUUACAGAUGGACCCGCGGCGCAUUAGCUAGUUGGUGAGGUAACGGCUCACCAAGGCAACGAUGCGUAGCCGACCUGAGAGGGUGAUCGGCCACACUGGGACUGAGACACGGCCCAGACUCCUACGGGAGGCAGCAGUAGGGAAUCUUCCGCAAUGGACGAAAGUCUGACGGAGCAACGCCGCGUGAGUGAUGAAGGUUUUCGGAUCGUAAAGCUCUGUUGUUAGGGAAGAACAAGUACCGUUC
rnacentral:rRNA from 1 species